GACGAACCGUGCGAACGUUGUUCGGAUUCACUGGGCUUAAAGGGCGCGUAGGCGGAGGAUCAAGUCGGUGGUGAAAUCGUUCGGCUCAACCGGACAAUCGCCUUCGAUACUGGUUCUCUCGAGGGGGGUAGGGGCAUGCGGAACUUCGGGUGGAGCGGUGAAAUGCGUAGAUAUCCGAAGGAACGCCGGUGGCGAAAGCGGCGUGCUGGACCCUUUCUGACGCUGAGGCGCGAAAGCCAGGGGAGCAAACGG
rnacentral:rRNA from 1 species